AGAGUUUGAUCCUGGCUCAGGACGAACGCUGGCGGUGUGCUUCACACAUGCAAGUCGAACGGGGUAGCAAUACCCAGUGGCGGACGGGUGAGUAACACGUGGGAAUCUACCAUAAGGUGGGGAAUAACAGGCCGAAAGGUCUGCUAAUGCCGCAUAUGUAUGUAUCUCGACAGAGAUGUAUAUGAAAGGAGUAAUCCGCCUUUUGAUGAGCCCGCGUCCGAUUAGCUAGUUGGUAGGGUAAAAGCCUACCAAGGCGACGAUCGGUAGGUGGUCUGAGAGGAUGAUCACCCACAAUGGGACUGAGACACGGCCCAUACUCCUACGGGAGGCAGCAGUGGGGAAUUUUACGCAAUGGGGGAAACCCUGACGUAGCGACACCGCGUGAGCGAAGAAGCCCUUUGGGGUGUAAAGCUCUG
rnacentral:rRNA from 1 species